rnacentral:lncRNA from 1 species
CUUUCUCCCGCACCGGGAUGGCCAUCAUCUCCUGCCUCCUGCUUAUGGAAGGAGAAAGGCUGCCCUCUCCCAGCCUCAUCCUACAGGAAUAGCUCCUCAGGAAAUCCUUUUUGGAGUCUAGCCAGCACUCCCUCUUGCUGCAGUUAUUAAAUGUAGAGUCUGUUUGUAGCCCCAAGAGAUGGGCAGGAAAAUCCUCUUUUCUUUCUAACUCUUCCUUCCGACUCCUCCCUCAGCUACUGCACCUCUGCCCUCUGUUCCCCAGCAAGUUUCAACUUUUCUCCAACCAGUUUUUCCAGCAUCCUGUUCCAUAAUCAGGAAUUAGGGCGAUCUGAGGGAGUUGGUGGUGUUGGUGUCUCAAAGCCCAAGAGCUCAGCUUUUCAGAGCCCAGAGUGCUACUGAGACCCCAGUUCGGCUGCCCAUCACUGGAACUGAAAACAGAGGCUGUGAUAGGAGUGACAGGUAAGAAUGGGGAAAGGGCUUCUCUGUCUGCAGCUGGGAGGAGCCUCUGGA